rfam:Janthinobacterium sp. CG23_2 isolate Janthinobacterium sp. CG23_25 genome assembly, contig: Contig_scf7180000000011_quiver
UGUCUCCACUAUCUUCCUCCAAGAAAAUAGUUUGAAGCCCGCUUUCAUCAGCGGGCUUUUUUUU